rnacentral:rRNA from 1 species
GACGAACGCUGGCGGCGUGCCUAAUACAUGCAAGUAGAACGCUGAAGGAGGAGCUUGCUUCUCUGGAUGAGUUGCGAACGGGUGAGUAACGCGUAGGUAACCUGCCUGGUAGCGGGGGAUAACUAUUGGAAACGAUAGCUAAUACCGCAUAAGAGUAGAUGUCGCAUGACAUUUGCUUAAAAGGUGCAAUAGCAUCACUACCAGAUGGACCUGCGUUGUAUUAGCUAGUUGGUGAGGUAACGGCUCACCAAGGCAACGAUACAUAGCCGACCUGAGAGGGUGAUCGGCCACACUGGGACGGAGACACGGCCCAGACUCCUACGGGAGGCAGCAGUAGGGAAUCUUCGGCAAUGGACGGAAGUCUGACCGAGCAACGCCGCGUGAGUGAAGAAGGUUUUCGGAUCGUAAAGCUCUGUUGUAAGAGAAGAACGAGUGUGAGAGUGGAAAGUUCACACUGUGACGGUAUCUUACCAGAAAGGGACGGCUAACUACGUG